UACGUAGGGUGCAAGCGUUAAUCGGAAUUACUGGGCGUAAAGGGCUCGUAGGCGGCUAACUAAGUCGGACGUGAAAUCCCUCGGCUUAACCGGGGAACUGCGUCCGAUACUGGAUGGCUUGAGUUCGGGAGAGGGAUGCGGAAUUCCAGGUGUAGCGGUGAAAUGCGUAGAUAUCUGGAGGAACACCGGUGGCGAAGGCGGCAUCCUGGACCGACACUGACGCUGAGGGGCGAAAGCCAGGGGAGCAAACGGG
rnacentral:rRNA from 1 species